UACUGGAAACAGUUAAAGAGUAGUUUUUACGUGUUUUGUGCUUGUGUUGUGCUUAUUUUGUAUAAGUAUCUUUUUCUUAACAAUAUAAUGAGUCCAACAAGUCGUAUUCGUCCUUGUAGUGUUCCUGAGUGUAGCGAUAAAUUAUCCAAUAGACACGCAAUUCCAUCUAAUGUAAAGUUGAGAAAUGUUUGGCUAAGCAGAAUUCACAAUAAGAAAUUAACCGCGCUUUCUAAAGAGAAGACAAAGUUAACGAUAUAUAAAGUUUGUAAUGUUCAUUUCGAGCCACAAUGUUUCAGCAAUAAUAAUCUUAUUGAGAAAUGCUUUGCCAACAUUAUAUAUUCCCGGAUAUGAAAGAGUGGAAGGAGAUUGCUUCUAUAGAGAACCUUCUGUAACAGGAAGAGAAACUCCACCAAGGUUUAUAGAAGCUCUUACUUCCACACCAUGUUCUGUCUUAUCUAGCCCUGUAGGACAUGUAAAAAU